GACGGAGGAUGCAAGCGUUAUCCGGAAUUAUUGGGCGUAAAGCGUCCGCAGGUGGACAUACAAGUCUGCUGUCAAAGUGCAGAGCUUAACUCUGUAAAGGCGGUGGAAACUGUAGGUCUUGAGUAUGGUAGGGGUAGAUGGAAUUCCCGGUGUAGCGGUGAAAUGCGUAGAUAUCGGGAAGAACACCAGUGGCGAAAGCGCUCUACUGGGCCAUAACUGACACUGAGGGACGAAAGCUAGGGGAGCGAAAGGG
rnacentral:rRNA from 1 species